CCGGCACGGGUGGAGUAACACGUAUCCAACCUGCCGUCUACUCUUGGACAGCCUUCUGAAAGGAAGAUUAAUACAAGAUGGCAUCAUGAGUUCACAUGUUCACAUGAUUAAAGGUAUUCCGGUAGACGAUGGGGAUGCGUUCCAUUAGAUAGUAGGCGGGGUAACGGCCCACCUAGUCUUCGAUGGAUAGGGGUUCUGAGAGGAAGGUCCCCCACAUUGGAACUGAGACACGGUCCAA
rnacentral:rRNA from 1 species